rnacentral:rRNA from 1 species
GACGAACCGUGCGAACGUUGUUCGGAAUCACUGGGCUUAAAGGGCGCGUAGGCGGCAGUUCAAGUCCGGGGUGAAAUCCUCCAGCUCAACUGGAGAAGUGCCUUGGAUACUGGAUUGCUCGAGGGAGGUAGGGGUCGAGGGAACUUCUGGUGGAGCGGUGAAAUGCGUUGAUAUCAGAAGGAACGCCGGUGGCGAGAGCGCUCGACUGGACCUCGUUCUGACGCUGAGGCGCGAAAGCUAGGGGAGCAAACGGGGAUUAAGAAACCCGGG